CCGGGUCCUCCCUGCGUGGAGUUUGCAUGUUCUCCCCGUGUCUGCGUGGGUUUCCUCCGGGCACUCCGGUUUCCUCCCACAGUCCAAAGACAUGCAGGUUAGGUGGAUUGGCAAUUCUAAAUUGGCCUUAGUUGUGUGCUGGGUGUGUUUGUGUGUGUCCUGUGGUGGGUUGGCACCCUGCCCGGGAUUGGUUCCUGCCUUGCACCCUAUGUUGGCUGGGAUUGGCUCCAGCAGACCCCCGUGACCCUGUGUUCAGAUUCAGCGGGUUAGAAAAUGGAUGGAUGGAAGUUAAUUA